UUAUUUAACCUUACCAUUGGGCCAAUCUCAUAUACCCAAUUACAAUUCUAUUUCCACUCCACGCUAGCAAUAAAAAUUCGUUGGGCCAAAACCACCGGCCCUUCUCAUAUAUCCAAUGACAAUCAUAUUUUCAUCCGAUGUGACAAUUGGGGUUGUCAUAGACUCCCCUAUCUAGGCCAUGAACACAUACACAAUUCAAGAUCACUAGACGAUGUGAAACUUAUCUCGCUAGGCUUGUCAUUCCAACCCUGGCUUCCUCUGUCAUUCACUAACCUUAACUUAGUCUGUAAUUCCGACCCUGACUUCAGGUGUCAUUCACCGACCCUGACUUAGUAUGUCAUUCCGAUCAUAGCUCUGCCAAAACUCAUCUCACAUUUUCGGCUGGUGAACCGGUUCUGAUACCAAAUAUAACGACGCGACCCGCUAGCAAUAAUAAUUCGUUGGACCAAAAGCACCAACCCAAAAUGCUUAAGCUUAGUGUGGAUUUCUCUCAUAUACCGAAUGAUAAUUCUAUUUUCAUCCGAUGUGAAACUAAUGGGAUGUCAAAUAAUUCGACCUAAAAAUUAGGUUAUUGUAUAA
rnacentral:lncRNA from 1 species